AGCAGUCGCCGCGGGAAUACGGAGGAUCCAAGCGUUAUCCGGAAUCAUUGGGUUUAAAGGGUCCGUAGGCGGUCUUGUAAGUCAGUGGUGAAAGCCCAUCGCUCAACGGUGGAACGGCCAUUGAUACUGCAGGACUUGAAUUAUUGGGAAGUAACUAGAAUAUGUAGUGUAGCGGUGAAAUGCUUAGAGAUUACAUGGAAUACCAAUUGCGAAGGCAGGUUACUACCAAUUGAUUGACGCUGAUGGACGAAAGCGUGGGUAGCGAACAGGAUUAGAUACCCCGUAGUCCCUGUCUCUUAUACA
rnacentral:rRNA from 1 species